AGCUCCAAUAGCGUAUAUUAAAGUUGUUGUGGUUAAAAAGCUCGUAGUUGGAUCUCAACAGCCUUGAAGCGGUUAACUUUGUAGUUUUACUGCUUUAUAGGCUGUGCUUUUGCUGGAGGUUUAGGGGUGCUCUUGAUCGAGUGUCUCUGGAUGCCAGCAGGUUUACUUUGAAAAAAUUAGAGUGCUCAAAGCAGGCUAAAAUGCCUGAAUAUUCGUGCAUGGAAUAAUAGAAUAGGAUGUCGAUCCUAUUUUGUCGGUUUUCGGGACUCGACAUAAUGAUAAAUAGGGACAGUCGGGGGCAUUUGUAUUCAAACGACAGAGGUGAAAUUCUUGGACCGUUUGAAGACAAACUACUGCGAAAGCAUUUGCCAAGAAUGUUUUCAUUAAUCAAGAACGAAAG
rnacentral:rRNA from 1 species